AACGAACGCUGGCGGCAGGCCUAACACAUGCAAGUCGAGCGAGACCUUCGGGUCUAGCGGCGGACGGGUGAGUAACGCGUGGGAACGUGCCCUUUUCUGCGGAAUAGCCUCGGGAAACUGAGCGUAAUACCGCAUACGCCCUUUGGGGGAAAGAUUUAUCGGAAAAGGAUCGGCCCGCGUUGGAUUAGGUAGUUGGUGGGGUAACGGCCUACCAAGCCGACGAUCCAUAGCUGGUUUGAGAGGAUGAUCAGCCACACUGGGACUGAGACACGGCCCAGACUCCUACGGGAGGCAGCAGUGGGGAAUCUUAGACAAUGGGGGCAACCCUGAUCUAGCCAUGCCGCGUGAGUGAUGAAGGCCUUAGGGUUGUAAAGCUCUUUCAGCUGGGAAGAUAAUGACGGUACCAGCAGAAGAAGCCCCGGCUAACUCCGUGCCAGCAGCCGCAGUAAAAC
rnacentral:rRNA from 1 species